rnacentral:rRNA from 1 species
ACGCUGGCGGCAGGCUUAACACAUGCAAGUCGAGCGGAGAUGAGGUGCUUGCACCUUAUCUUAGCGGCGGACGGGUGAGUAAUGCUUAGGAAUCUGCCUAUUAGUGGGGGACAACAUUCCGAAAGGAAUGCUAAUACCGCAUACGUCCUACGGGAGAAAGCAGGGGAUCUUCGGACCUUGCGCUAAUAGAUGAGCCUAAGUCGGAUUAGCUAGUUGGUGGGGUAAAGGCCUACCAAGGCGACGAUCUGUAGCGGGUCUGAGAGGAUGAUCCGCCACACUGGGACUGAGACACGGCCCAGACUCCUACGGGAGGCAGCAGUGGGGAAUAUUGGACAAUGGGGGGAACCCUGAUCCAGCCAUGCCGCGUGUGUGAAGAAGGCCUUAUGGUUGUAAAGCACUUUAAGCGAGGAGGAGGCUACUGAGACUAAUACUCUUGGAUAGUGGACGUUACUCGCAGAAUAAGCACCGGCUAACUCUGUGCCAGCAGCCGCGGUAAUACAGAGGGUGCGAGCGUUAAUCGGAUUUACUGGGCGUAAAGCGUGCGUAGGCGGCUUUUUAAGUCGGAUGUGAAAUCCCCGAGCUUAACUUGGGAAUUGCAUUCGAUACUGGGAAGCUAGAGUAUGGGAGAGGAUGGUAGAAUUCCAGGUGUAGCGGUGAAAUGCGUAGAGAUCUGGAGGAAUACCGAUGGCGAAGGCAGCCAUCUGGCUUAAUACUGACGCUGAGGUACGAAAGCAUGGGGAGCAAACAGGAUUAGAUACCCUGGUAGUCCAUGCCGUAAACGAUGUCUACUAGCCGUUGGGGCCUUUGAGGCUUUAGUGGCGCAGCUAACGCGAUAAGUAGACCGCCUGGGGAGUACGGUCGCAAGACUAAAACUCAAAUGAAUUGACGGGGGCCCGCACAAGCGGUGGA